AUUGAACGCUGGCGGCAGGCCUAACACAUGCAAGUCGAGCGGGGUUUUCGGACCUAGCGGCGGACGGGUGAGUAAUGCGUAGGAAGCUGCCCGAUAGAGGGGGAUACCAGUUGGAAACGACUGUUAAUACCGCAUAAUGUCUACGGACCAAAGUGUGGGACCUUCGGGCCACAUGCUAUCGGAUGCGCCUACGUGGGAUUAGCUAGUUGGUGAGGUAAUGGCUCACCAAGGCGACGAUCUCUAGCUGGUUUGAGAGGAUGAUCAGCCACACUGGAACUGGGACACGGUCCGGACUCCUACGGGAGGCAGCAGUGGGGAAUAUUGGACAAUGGGCGCAAGCCUGAUCCAGCCAUGCCGCGUGUGUGAAGAAGGCCUUCGGGUUGUAAAGCACUUUCAGCGAGGAGGAAGGGUGGUGUGUUAAUAGCACAUCAUUUUGACGUUACUCGCAGAAGAAGCACCGGCUAACUCUGUGCCAGCAGCCGCGGUAAUAC
rnacentral:rRNA from 1 species